ACCUGUGCUCUUCCGAUCCGCGUCUCCUCAAACGCACGAGUGCGCCGGCUCGCUUCCCUCUCUUUCGGCGUCUCGCUUUCCUGGUCAGGGUCAGCAGUAAAUCUGCCGCAGAUGCGACAAAUAUUGGAAAUAAAUCCACAGGCGUUGUAGUCCUGUAGUUAAGGAGCUCUUCUCUGGUGUACGAAUAUCCAGAGGAGUGCCCAGACACAGAAGAAAUGCACAAAAACAAAACAAAAGUAACGCACUGAAGCACCAGGGCGACCAUCCGCGG